AGGACGAACGCUGGCGGCGUGCUUAACACAUGCAAGUCACGGGGGGUAGCAAUACCAACCGGCGAACGGGUGCGUAACACGUGAACAACCUGCCCUCGUGUGGGGGAUAGCCGGGCUAACGCCCGGGUAAUACCGCAUACGUUCCCUUGGAGGAUUCUCUGGGGGAGGAAAGCUCCGGCGCACGGGGAGGGGUUCGCGGCCUAUCAGCUAGUUGGCGGGGUAAUGGCCCACCAAGGCGACGACGGGUAGCU
rnacentral:rRNA from 1 species